rnacentral:rRNA from 1 species
GCACCAAGGCUAAGACGUCUAGGCGGAUUGAGAGAUUGACCGCCAACAUUGGGACUGAGAUACUGCCCAGACUCCUACGGGAGGCUGCAGUCGAGGAUCUUUCGCAAUGGGCGCAAGCCUGACGAAGCGACGCUGUGUGGACGAUGAAGGCCUUAGGGUUGUAAAGUCCUUUCGCGUAAGAACAAGAGAGGUCACCUAAUAAGUGGCUAAUUUGAGGGUACUACGUAAAGAAGCACCGGCUAACUCCGUGCCAGCAGCUGCGGUAAUACGGAGGGUGCAAGCAUUAAUCGGAUUUACUGGGCGUAAAGGGCGCGUAGGCGGGUUUAUAAGUCAAAUGUGAAAUUCCGGAGCUCAACUUCGGAGCGGCAUUUGAAACUAUAAGCCUAUAGAGGGAUGGCGGAGAAAACGGAAUUCCACAUGUAGCGGUGAAAUGCGUAGAUAUGUGGAAGAACACCAGUGGCGUAAACGGNUUUCUGGACCAUAACUGACGCUGAGGCACGAAAGCGUGGGAAGCAAACAGGAUUAGAUACCCUGGUAGUCCACGCCCUAAACAUGCAUAUUUGGUGUGGGCCAUUCAUUUGGUCCGUGCCGGAGCUAACGCGUUAAAUAUGCCGCCUGGGGAGUACAGUCGCAAGGCUGAAACUCAAAGGAAUUGACGGGGGCCCGCACAAGCGGUGGAGCAUGUGGUUUAAUUCGACGCAACGCGAAGAACCUUACCUAGGCUCGAAAUGCUUACGACCAUCUUUGGAAACAUUGACUUCCCGCAAGGGACGUGAGUAUAGGUGCUGCAUGGCUGUCGUCAGCUCGUGUCGUGAGAUGUUGGGUUAAGUCCCGCAACGAGCGCAACCCUUGUCCUGUGUUGCCAUCAUUAAGUUGGGAACUCGCAGGAGACCGCCAGGGAUAACCUGGAGGAAGGUGGGGAUGACGUCAAGUCCUCAUGGCCUUUAUGUCUAGGGCUACACACGUGCUACAAUGGACGGUACAAAGCGCUGCCAACCCGCGAGGGGGAGCCAAUCGCAAAAAACCGUUCUCAGUUCGGAUUGCAGGCUGCAACUCGCCUGCAUGAAGCUGGAAUCGCUAGUAAUGGCAGAUCAGAACGCUGCCGUGAAUACGUUCCCGGGCCUUGUACACACCGCCCGUCACAUCACGAAAGUGGGUUGUACUAGAAGUCCGCGCGCUAACCGUAAGGAGGCAGCGGCCCAAGGUAUGACUCAUGAUUGGGGUGAAGUCGUAACAAGGUA